rnacentral:rRNA from 1 species
CGCGUAGGCGGCCUUUCAAGUCAGGUGUGAAAUCCCGGGGCUCAACCCCCGAAGAACAUUUGAUACUGUGAGGCUUGAGUAUGGGAGAGGGAAGUGGAAUUCCUGGUGUAGCGGUGAAAUGCGUAGAUAUCAGGAGGAACACCGGUGGCGAAGGCGGCUUCCUGGACCAAUACUGACGCUGAGGCGCGAAGGCGUGGGGAGCAAACA